UGAUUUCUUCGGAAUGAAUAAUGAUAUGACUGAGUGGCGGACGGGUGAGUAACGCGUGAGCAACCUGCCCUUCGGAGGGGGAUAGCGUCUGGAAACGGACGGUAAUACCGCAUAAAGUGUCUUGACCGCAUGAUCGAGAUACCAAAACUGAGGUGCCGAAGGAUGGGCUCGCGUUGGAUUAGAUAGUUGGUGGGGUAACGGCCUACCAAGUCGACGAUCCAUAGCCGGACUGAGAGGUUAACCCCCACACUGGUACUGAGACACGGACCAGACUCC
rnacentral:rRNA from 1 species